ACGCGGGAGGAGGUUGUGGGGAUAUGGACGAGCAUCCGAGGCCCCCGGUUACAGACGUUCCACGUUCCGUCUCCCUGUGCCAGCCCUCAGGACCUGAGCAGCGGCCUUGCCGUAGCCUAUGUGCUGAACCAGAUGUGAGUGGAGCUGAAGGGGAGGAUCCCAAAAGUGUCCCCCAGUCUGCUCAUCCCACCUUCUCGCCCCCAGAGACCCCUCCUGGUUCAACGAGGCAUGGCUCCAGGGCAUCUCGGAAGAUCCAGGUCCCAACUGGAAGCUGAAGGUGACAAGUGGACUCCUGAUUAGAGGACAGACUGGUGAAGAGAUGACCAGGGACGGGCCAGCUAGGCACAUGUCCUGGGUGAUGGGCAGGAAGAGGGACAGAUGUCUGGUGAUCAACCAUUUGUUCAUCCAUUCAUCUAUGGAGUACUCACCCUGUGCCAGGCCUGGGCAUUCAGCAAGGAAUAACACAGACAAAAACCUGCCCCACACAGCCAUCAUUCUAGUGACAAGCAACACAUACACAACCAUAAAAAUUAACUUCCAGGCUGGGCGCAGUGGCUCAUGCCUGUAAUCCCAACACUUUGAGAGGCUAAAGUGGGUGGAUCACCUGGGGCCAGGAGUUCAAGACCAGCCUGGCCAACAAGUUGAAACCCCAUCUCUACUAAAAAUACAAAAAUUAGCUGGGUGGGGUGGUGUGCACCUGUAAUCCCAGUUACUUGGGAGGCUGAGACAUGAGAAUCACUUGAACCUGGGAGGUGGAGGAUGCAGUGAGCUGAGAUUGAGCCAUUGCACUCCAGCCUGGGCAACAGAGCGAGACUCUUGUCUCAAGAAGAAGAAAAAAAGAAAAAGAAAAAGAAAAAGAAAAAACUUUUGAUGCCAGUAGUUCUGUGAAGACAACAAAAAAGCAGGGCUUUGAGAGAGAGCAAUGAGGGCAUAGGUGGCUGAUUACAUCAGAUGGGUUAAUCUCCAAGUGAAA
rnacentral:lncRNA from 10 species